UACGGGGGGGGGCAAGCGUUGUUCGGAAUUACUGGGCGUAAAGGGCUCGUAGGCGGCCAACUAAGUCAGACGUGAAAUCCCCAGGCUUAACCUGGGAACUGCGUCUGAUACUGGAUGGCUUGAAUUCGGGAGAGGGAUGCAGAAUUCCAGGUGUAGCGGUGAAAUGCGUAGAUAUCUGGAGGAAUACCGGUGGCGAAGGCGGCAUCCUGGACCAAUUCUGACACUGAGGAGCGAAAGCCAGGGGAGCAAACGGG
rnacentral:rRNA from 1 species